AUUGAAAUGGCCCGUGCAUGAUUCUGCACUAAACAGUUUUUUUUUUUUUUGUCUAUUUUUGUGAAUUCUUAUCCCUGUGGUGUUUUCUGUGUUUUCUCUUUUUAAUCUUUCCAGAAGAUAUUAAAAUGCCUGAAACUUCCCCUUACUUUCCCUUUAAGUAAAUCUCCGGUUGAACAAAUCUUUAACGUGUUGCUUUGCAGCAUAGCAAUGUGUGUAAGCACACACUUCUUCAUGAGUAAAUGUUUCCCUGAGGUAGGAUCUCAGGAUGCACUGACUGUUUAUACCAGCAGCUCCCCAGGCAUAGGAUCUGGCGUGUUGCAAGAGUAGCUAUGCUGCUGCGGCAGUGCUUGCAGCAGCAAGCUGUGUGGUCUGCCCUCCUGGCCCCAGCAGCCCGUCUGCAGAACUGGCAGAAGUGAGCCCAGGAGACCUCAAAUCCCAGAUUCUGGCAUUUGGCUGUAGAGGUACAAGGCUGCUGAGACAGAAGAAUUCUGCUGGGUAUCAGGAUGAGAGGAAGAAUAUGCAGCUAAAAAAGAUGCCGGCACCUACAGCGGUCUCAUGGAGUGCCACAAAGCAAAGCCUCACCGUGCUUGUGGGAUUCAGAACCACAGUUGGAAGGGGACUAUGGCCUCUCAGUCAUAGGCAGGACCUAAAUGCAGCUGCUUGCUGAAGUGGCAGCUUCCAGGAGGAUGUGAGGCCAACAGGCUCCUGGAAAAACGGUCUGGGGAGGUGGGAGCCUUGGUGCCUUUCUUGUCAUAAAGUUUUUGAACACUGAACAUGCAGAUUCACGGAAAUCGAGUCUGUUUUGGGGAAAGGGUUGGCUCUCACAAGUUGCUUGACUUUGAAAAGUAUUGUGGAAAUAAAGUUUUGGAACUGUCCAAAUGUUUUGGUCGUUUCUCACUGAAUGGCUUUCCCAUUCAA
ensembl:lncRNA